UACGGAGGAUGCAAGCGUUAUCCGGAAUGAUUGGGCGUAAAGCGUCCGCAGGUGGCAAUGUAAGUCUGCUGUUAAAGAGUGAGGCUCAACCUCAUAAGAGCAGUGGAAACUACAUAGCUAGAGUGCGUUCGGGGCAAAGGGAAUUCCUGGUGUAGCGGUGAAAUGCGUAGAGAUCAGGAAGAACACCAGCGGCGAAGGCGGCGCUCUGGGCCGGUACUGACACUGAGGAGCGAAAGCGUGGGUAGCAAACAGG
rnacentral:rRNA from 1 species